ACUUCGGUUUCACCGUAAAAAGAAGAGUGGCGAACGGGUGAGUAACACGUGGGUAACCUACCCAUCAGCGGGGGAUAACACUUGGAAACAGGUGCUAAUACCGCAUAAUCUUUUUCUCCGCCUGGAGAGAAAGUGAAAGGCGCUUUUGCGUCACUGAUGGAUGGACCCGCGCUGCAUUAGCUAGUUGGUGAGGUAACGGCUCACCAAGGCCACGAUGCAUAGCCGACCUGAGAGGGUGAUCGGCCACACUGGGACUGAGACACGGCCCAGACUCCUACGGGAGGCAGCAGUAGGGAAUCUNUCGGCCAAUGGACGAAAGUCUGACCCGAGCAANCCCCCGCGUGAAGUAAAGAAGGUUUUCGGAUCGUAAAACUCUGUUGUUUAGAGAAGGAAUAAGGAUGAGAGUAAAAAGNUUCAUCCCUUGACGGUAUCUAACCAGAAAGNCCACNGGCUAACUACGUGCCAGCAGCCGCGGUAAUACGUAGGUGGCAAGCGNUNUGUCCGGAUUUAUUGGGCGUAAAGCGAGCGNCAGGCGGUUUUCUUAAGUCUGAUGUGAAAGCCCCCGGCUUAACCGGGGAGGGUCAUUGGAAACUGAGGAACUUGAGUGCAGAAGAGGAGAGUGGAAAUUCCAUGUGUAGCGGUGAAAUGCGUAGAUAUAUGGAGGAACACCAGUGGCGAAGGCGACUCUCUGGUCUGUAACUGACGCUGAGGCUCGAAAGCGUGGGGAGCAAACAGGAUUAGAUACCCUGGUAGUCCACGCCGUAAACGAUGAGUGCUAAGUGUUGGANGGGUUUCCGCCCNUUCAGUGCUGCAGCUAACGCAUUAAGCACUCCGCCUGGGGAGUACGGUCGCAAGACUGAAACUCAAAGGAAUUGACGGGGGCCCGCACAAGCGGUGGAGCAUGUGGUUUAAUUCGAACCAACGCGAAGAACCUUACCAGGUCUUGACAUCCUUUGACCACUCUAGAGAUAGAGCUUUCCCUUCGGGGACAAAGUGACAGGUGGUGCAUGGUUGUCCUCACCUCGUGUCGUGAAAUGUUGGGUUAAGUCCCGCAACGAGCGCAACCCNUUAUUGUUAGUUGCCAUCAUUUAGUUGGGCACCCUAGCGGAAACUGCCGGUGACAAACCGAAGGAAGGUGGGGAUGACGUCAAAUCAUCAUGCCCCUUAUGACCUGGGCUACACACGUGCUACAAUGGGAGGUACAACGAGUCG
rnacentral:rRNA from 1 species